rnacentral:misc_RNA from 1 species
GAUGAAGAACGCAGCGAAAUGCGAUAAGUAGUGUGAAUUGCAGAAUUCAGUGAAUCAUCGAAUCUUUGAACGCACAUUGCGCCCUUUGGUAUUCCAAAGGGCAUGCCUGUUCGAGCGUCAUUUGUACCCUCAAGCUUUGCUUGGUGUUGGACGUCUUGUCUCUAGCUUUGCUGGAGACUCGCCUUAAAGUAAUUGGCAGCCGGCCUACUGGUUUCGGAGCGCAGCACAAGUCGCACUCUCUAUCAGCAAAGGUCUAGCAUCCAUUAAGCCUUUUUUUCAACUUUUGACCUCGGAUCAGGUAGGGAUACCCGCUGAACUUAAGCAUAUCAAUAAGCGGAGGA